AAUUUAGUCAUUAGUUGCUUUGGGUUCUUUGUUGCUGCCUGUGGGCUUUCUCUAGUUACGCUGAGUGGGCUUCUCACUGCGGCGGCUUCUCUUGUUGCAGGCUCUAGGCGUGUGGACUUCAGUAGCUGCAGCCUGUGGGCUCAGGGUGGCGGCUUGUGGGCCCCUAGAACAUACCAGGCUCAGCAGAUGUGGCAUUGUGGCAUUGUGUUGCAUCUCUAUUCCCAUUCUCAAGUCUGGAGCCGUUUGGAAGCAAGGACUAUCAGCUAGGACACUUCAGUGUUCUUAUGAAACCUCAACUCAAGCGGUGUAAAUAAUGAUGAGAAAACAGACUGAGGCUAGUCAGUGCUGGCGUUGUUAACACAGUGGUUCAGCAGCAUCAUAGGACUGGGGGCUUCUCACUUUUCCACUUUACUUUGGUCUGGCUCAGCUCAAGGAGAAUAUGUAUCUGUGGGGGUCCCCAAAGUCACAUGCACACAUUUUUAAUGUCCAGAGGAAGUAAAGGAGAGGGAGUGGUGACUUGUCUUAUUUCUCUUCUUAGGCGUGAGGAAGUCUUCUCCAGACGUGCCCUCCCUUCCCACCUCUGCCACGCUCUUAUGUCUGAUGGACCAGAACUGGAUAACAUAGUUCAUGCUGAGCCACUCAACAGCUAAGUAACCGGAUACCUCGUGGCUUGAAGUAAUGUGGGGAAACAACAUCCUUGAGGAAUGGAAGAGCCGAUGAAGUCCAAGAAAUAGUGGACGGUUGGUUGCCUAACGCGGAGGCAAGGACCCAGGGCUGGUCCCAGGGCUGCUCAUGGAGGGGAAGGUGCAUCUCCACUGCAUCGCGGCAAGUCUUCCAGACCUGUCUGCAGCUCUUCCUGUAACCAAGAGGCCUUUUCCUGUGUUUAAACUCACCACCAAUGGCUAUCCUACCAAAGGAUCUCAAGGUGCUUGGAGAGAGCCUGUCAGUAGAAGAAUAGACCUAUACGACCACUCUGGAGGAAGAUUGUGAA
rnacentral:lncRNA from 1 species